GACGCUGGGAGGUGAGCGCGUUCCUGGCGCGGAGGCGGAGGCGGAGGCGGAGGUGACGGUGACUUGGCUGUCUUUGUGGAGGCUCCGGCCCAGAGGCCGGAGCGCAGCAUUACCACAGCCAAGUCGGCCGGGUGUCCGUCGCCGGUUCGCUUAUUGAGCGCCUUCCAGAGACUGACCGUAGACCAAAGCGGCAAGGCCCGGUUCUGGACCUGGAGCCGGUUUGUCGCUUGGGAAGCAGACCCCGCAGAAGGUGUGCCCCGCACCGCUUCGCCGGACACGAGUGGGCUGCAGUGAAUACUGAGGACGAGCACGUGUACCAUGCGGCGGGGCGGGCGACACAACCACGAAGUGACGUGGAGCGAGUCCCAGGCCGCGGGCCAGGCGUCAGGUGAAGUUUGAGCACCGACGGAGCUUGAAGCGUUGGCCUGGCCGGCGCUCGACCACGUGGACACACGCUGCUUGGAAUGUGGCCGGUGCUCUUUGGGGUGAAAUGCAUACGGGACUCCAGUGGCUUGGUAUUGUACCUAGGAACGCGCUACCACUGAGCUCGUCCUGAGAUCUCUUUGUUGCCAAAAGCUUGGACAUUUUCCUGGAUGCCAAUCCAAUAAGGAGGACACAGUUUUGAGAAAAAAGAGAAACACAUGAAGAUUCCUGAUUUCAAAGGCUAUGAUUCUGCCUAUCUGCAGGAACCAGGGGACUUUUAUAGAGGUGAUUCAGAGAAAAUGAGACUAGGGAGGAGAGAUCAGGAAGGAGAAGAUGGGGUGGGGGAAGAAGUUUAAGGAAAAGAAGAUAGGGUAAAAGGAAAAAAAAAAGUGUUUCAAAGCCACACGGGAUAUGGUCAAAGCAUCUCAUCAAGUGAACGUGUUGCAUCUUUAUUUUUAUUUUGACACAGUCUCGGUAGGAUUACAGUCAUGCAUACUUUUUUUUUUUUUUAAUGUCACUACCAGAAAAGUUGAAAUUGCGUAUGGCUUUGCAUUAUGUUUAUGUGGCCUUAAACCAAAGUUGGGGGUGGGGGAGACUAGCAUUGCAGGCUGAAGUUUUGCUUAUUGUUUGUUUUCCCAUAUAGAUGAGUUUUAGUACAACAUUUAGGAGCUUCUGGAAACACCAUCAGUUUUAUUUCGAAACUAAUUACAUUGUAUUCUUUUCAGGCCAGCUGCUUGGUAGGAAAAAAACAAUACCAUUGAACUACA